AAACUGAUACGUUUUUUUCUCUUCAUCUUCAAACAGCACCUGUGGGUCCAAAUGGCUCUCCACCAGAGAACACAAUGACAAACCCUGACGUUGGUCUUGGCCUCGUUGUUGGGAUCAUCACAGGCAUCAUCAUCCUCGUUGUGAUCAUCUUCAUCGCAUUGGGAAUGGCAGACGCAGAAUCAGAUGCUGGCUCAGAGGAUUGCUGUGGGUCGUUUACUAGAUGUUGUAAGGGUUUUGCUGCGUGUUGUGGGGGUUGUACUGCAUGUCUUCAGUGUUGGGGUGAAUGUUGCUCUGUUCUUUCUGCUGUUGAUGUGUAGAAGACAAAAAUUGCAAAUAUACCAAAGCCUUUCUUCAUUUGAAUAUCAUAUGUUUUUUUUUUUUGUUUUUAUUUUUUGGCGGUGUUACAUGGUGUCAUGGAGAAACUUUGCUUUGAAUCAGAAUAUCUACAUCUGUUCUAAAUAUCUCUGUCUGACUGAGAUCCUGAAGUUUUGUCUGAGACACCGAGGAAACACUUUAAGUGUUGCUGAUGUAUUCUCUCGUCAAAUUACAAAAUUCUUUGUAACGAAAGACUACAUUUGUUCAAAUAAACUAUUUUCACCUAUCCAUAA